GCCUCAGAACUGCCCGGAGAGGAACCGCCCUGGAUGGACAGAGGGACGGAGGGACGAGCAUCCAGCCAGUCGUGUCCCAGCGGCCCCACAGCGGUCUCCAACGCCCGCUGCUGCCCGCCCGCCUGCCCGUCUGCCCGGCAUCUCACUCCCGGGAAAACUUUCUACCAGACAGAAGUAUGCAGUGUUUCAGGAAGAACCAGGCGGAAGAGGAGUCGGGCAGCCCUGGAACUGGGACCAGUCCUGGAACCUGAAGCCAGAAGAUGGGCUGCCUGCAGGACUCUGACCCUGCCGCAUUUUGCCUGACCUUGAAAUCUUGGUGGAAGCCUCCUUGACCCCCUAACUUCAACAUCCUGCAUUCCCGCAGAACCAGCAUAUGGUUGACGCCAAGGUUUGCUGCCAUCUUGAGCAGUAGCCAAGCCUCCAGGGACCCUGGCUGCAGCAGCCUUGAGUGGGUGGCUAAGCAAGCUGAAGAAACUUCCUAGGCCCUCUUGUGCAAGAGGGGCGCCCUACUGGUCUCUUCUCAAGAGAAUUUUCACUUUUACACCCUUGAACCUGAGAUGGGUGUGAUCUUGCUAACUCCUGAGAUGCCCUCAAGCGAUCUUUCUUAUUGUCUCUAGGAAAAGUUUUCAGGGUUUCUUUAGUGAUUGUAAAAAAUAAAAUUUAAAAAUUACAACUUAGGUCCAGUUUUACUCCUGCCUUUCAAGUACAAGUUUUAAAAAAUUUUCUGCCUUGUUUUCUGAAUAUCACAAUAAACUUGUU